GUGGGAGGGGGCUUGCCCCCGAUAGCGGUGUAUCAGCCAGCAGGUGUAUUUACUGACCCGCCGCAAUCGGGGGCAAGCCCCCUCCCAU
rnacentral:misc_RNA from 1 species